rnacentral:rRNA from 1 species
CUACGGGAGGCAGCAGUGAGGAAUUUUGCGCAAUAGGGGAAACCCUGACGCAGCAACGCCGCGUGAGUGAAGAAGGCCUUCGGGUCGUAAAGCUCUGUCAAGUGGGAAAAAAUCCAGCUGGUGAAUAGCCGGCUGGCCUGAUGGUACCACUAGAGGAAGCACCGGCUAACUCCGUGCCAGCAGCCGCGGUAAUACGGAGGGUGCAAGCGUUGUUCGGAAUUACUGGGCGUAAAGCGCGUGUAGGCGGUUUGGUAAGUCAGAUGUGAAAGCCCUGAGCUUAACUCAGGAAGUGCAUUUGAAACUGCCUUACUCGAGUAUGGGAGAGGAGAGUGGAAUUCCCAGUGUAGAGGUGAAAUUCGUAGAUAUUGGGAGGAACACCCGUGGCGAAGGCGACUCUCUGGACCAAUACUGACGCUGAGACGCGAAAGCGUGGGGAGCAAACAGGAUUAGAUACCCCGGUAGUCCC